AGAGAGUCUGACGGAGCACGCCGCGUGAGUGAUGAAGGUUUUCGGAUCGUAAAGCUCUGUUGUUAGGGAAGAACAAGUACCGUUCGAAUAGGGCGGUACCUUGACGGUACCUAACCAGAAAGCCACGGCUAACUACGUGCCAGCAGCCGCGGUAAUACGUAGGUGGCAAGCGUUGUCCGGAAUUAUUGGGCGUAAAGGGCUCGCAGGCGGUUUCUUAAGUCUGAUGUGAAAGCCCCCGGCUCAACCGGGGAGGGUCAUUGGAAACUGGGGAACUUGAGUGCAGAAGAGGAGAGUGGAAUUCCACGUGUAGCGGUGAAAUGCGUAGAGAUGUGGAGGAACACCAGUGGCGAAGGCGACUCUCUGGUCUGUAACUGACGCUGAGGAGCGAAAGCGUGGGGAGCGAACAGGAUUAGAUACC
rnacentral:rRNA from 1 species